ACAGAGGGUGCUAGCGUUGUUCGGAAUCAUUGGGCGUAAAGGGCGUGUAGGCGGUUUGUUAAGUCAUGUGCGAAAUCCCUCGGCUCAACCGGGGAACGACGCAUGAAACUGGCAAGCUAGAGUACCAAAGAGGGGGGUGGAAUUCCUGGUGUGGCGGUGAAAUGCGCAGAUAUCAGGAGGAACACCGGUGGCGAAGGCGGGUCUCUGGGCAAUAACUGACGCUGAGGAGCGAAAGCGUGGGGAGCGAACAGGA
rnacentral:rRNA from 1 species